GAUGAACGCUAGCUACAGGCUUAACACAUGCAAGUCGAGGGGAAACGACAUCGAAAGUUUGCUUUUGGUGGGCGUCGACCGGCGCACGGGUGAGUAACGCGUAUCCAACCUGCCCACCACUUGGGGAUAACCUUGCGAAAGUAAGACUAAUACCCAAUGAUAUCCCACGAAGGCAUCCGAAUGGGAUUAAAGAUUUAUCGGUGAUGGAUGGGGAUGCGUCUGAUUAGCUUGUUGGCGGGGUAACGGCCCACCAAGGCUACGAUCAGUAGGGGUUCUGAGAGGAAGGUCCCCCCACAUUGGAACUGAGACACGGUCCAAACUCCUACGGGAGGCAGCAGUGAGGAAUAUUGGUCAAUGGGCGAGAGCCUGAACCAGCCAAGUAGCGUGC
rnacentral:rRNA from 1 species